rnacentral:tRNA from 1 species
CAGAACUGUAGCUUAACUCAGCUAGAGCAUCUCCCUUACACCGAGAUUAUGUCAGUGCAAACCUGGCCGGUCUGA